AGAGUCAGACACUUAACCGACUGAACCACCCAGGAGCUAUAAUGCGCUUCUUCAAGUCUGCCUCGGUGGUUUCUAAUUCUGGAGACGUGCACAGUAGAAUGGUCUCCCACAAUCCUUUCAGAAAGAACAGGAAAGCCCUUCUGUAUUCUUCUUCUGUAAAGAAGACACCAGCCUAUCUCCUCAUAAUUCUGAGAUUCAUAUGUCAAAGUCAAGACUGCUGUCCUUGUACGAAGUAGAAAUUUGGAUGCUGACAUGCACAGAGGAAACAUUGUGAGGACACAGGCAGAAGACGGCCAUCUACAAGCCAAAGAGAGAGACCUCAGAUGAAACCCACCCUCCAACACCUGAUCUUGGACUUCUAGACGCCAGAACUAUGAGAAAGCAAAUUUCUGUUGUUUAAGCCCCCUGGUCCGUGGUAUUUUGUUAUGACAGCCCCAGGAAAGGUUUACAGUACCCUUAAAAGACUGUUACGGGGUGCGCUUUUAGGGAACUGGCGUCUAAAGGCUGUGCUUUCUAAAUCUGAUUCAUUCUUACCCCGCAGGGGUGCAUUCUCUCCACCAGGAGAGAUGCUGCCAGGAACAGGCUUUCUCAGGUGCAAC